rnacentral:lncRNA from 1 species
CCAAGUGCAAGGCUAAUAAGGCUAGGUAGAUAGCUAUUAUUUCCGAGGUCGGCCAAAGCAGAGACAAAUUCAUAAACACAAAUACAAGUAAAGUUGCAGAGUUUAUUCUUUAAGUUCAGAAAGAAAACACAAGCACAAAUCUUCUUGUGGUUCAUCUAGGAAAAUGACCGCAGACUGGCACUACUUUGACUUGAAGUUCCUUCAGCAUUCAGCUCUUUAUUGGUAAUGAUUGACUGCACAGAGAACUAUCUCCAAACUACCUUCAAUGCAUCAAUUAAUAAAUGAAAAGGACAAACGUAAUUGUUUUACACAAUUCAAGUAGCU